rnacentral:rRNA from 1 species
UACGUAGGGGGCAAGCGUUGUCCGGAUUAUUGGGCGUAAAGAGCGUGUAGGCGGCCAAGCAGGUCCGCUGUGAAAACUCGAGGCUCAACCUCGAGACGUCGGUGGAAACCGUUUGGCUAGAGUCCGGAAGAGGAGAGUGGAAUUCCCGGUGUAGCGGUGAAAUGCGCAGAUAUCGGGAAGAACACCCGUGGCGAAGGCGGCUCUCUGGGACGGUACUGACGCUGAGACGGCGAAAAGCGUGGGGAGCGAACAGG